rnacentral:lncRNA from 1 species
CGUAUGCUAGGUAUGGGAUACGUGUGUUUAUAUAUAAUAUUAUGUCAAUGAAAGUUAAGGCGGUAGUCCAGGAAACCAAUCAAAGAUAACUUGAGCGACGUAUUUAAUCAAAUUCAAUGGUUGGCAAUAACCAGUCCCAGGUCCGUACGUCGAGUUACGUACGUAUGUCAUUUUAUUGGAAAUCUCUAAUAAAACAUACAGUAUAACAUAAUUAACGUAGUAAAUGAAAAAAAAA